rnacentral:rRNA from 1 species
ACCCGCUGAACUUAAGCAUAUCAAUAAGCGGAGGAAAAGAAACCAACAGGGAUUGCCCUAGUAACGGCGAGUGAAGCGGCAACAGCUCAAAUUUGAAAUCUGGCUCUUUUAGAGUCCGAGUUGUAAUUUGCAGAGGGCGCUUUGGUGUUGGCAGCGGUCCAAGUUCCUUGGAACAGGACGUCACAGAGGGUGAGAAUCCCGUACGUGGUCGCUAGUCAUCGCCGUGUAAAGCCCCUUCGACGAGUCGAGUUGUUUGGGAAUGCAGCUCUAAAUGGGAGGUAAAUUUCUUCUAAAGCUAAAUACUGGCCAGAGACCGAUAGCGCACAAGUAGAGUGAUCGAAAGAUGAAAAGCACUUUGGAAAGAGAGUCAAAUAGCACGUGAAAUUGUUGAAAGGGAAGCGCUUGCAGCCAGACUUGCCUGUAGUUGCUCAUCUAGGCUUUUGCCUAGUGCACUCUUCUAUAGGCAGGCCAGCAUCAGUUUGGGCGGUUGGAUAAAGGUCUCUGUCAUGUACCUCUCUUCGGAGAGGCCUUAUAGGGGAGACGACAUGCAACCAGCCUAGACUGAGGUCCGCGCAUUUGCUAGGAUGCUGGCGUAAUGGCUGUAAGCGGCCCGUCUUGAAACACGGACCAAGGAGUCUAACAUCUAUGCGAGUGUUUGGGUGUCAAGCCCGAACGCGUAAUGAAAGUGAACGGAGGUGGGAACCCUUUUGGGGUGCACCAUCGACCGAUCCUGAUGUCUUCGGAAGGAUUUGAGUAAGAGCAUGGCUGUUGGGACCCGAAAGAUGGUGAACUAUGCUUGAAUAGGGUGAAGCCAGAGGAAACUCUGGUGGAGGCUCGCAGCGGUUCUGACGUGCAAAUCGAUCGUCAAAUUUGGGCAUAGGGGCGAAAGACUAAUCGAACUAUCUAGUAGCUGGUUCCUGC